AGUGAACGCUGGCGGUAGGCCUAACACAUGCAAGUCGAACGGCAGCACAGGAGAGCUUGCUCUCUGGGUGGCGAGUGGCGGACGGGUGAGGAAUACAUCGGAAUCUACUCUGUCGUGGGGGAUAACGUAGGGAAACUUACGCUAAUACCGCAUACGACCUACGGGUGAAAGCAGGGGACCUUCGGGCCUUGCGCGAUUGAAUGAGCCGAUGUCGGAUUAGCUAGUUGGCGGGGUAAAGGCCCACCAAGGCGACGAUACGUAGCUGGUCUGAGAGGAUGAUGAGCCACACUGGAACGGAGACACGGUCCAGACUCCUACGGGAGGCAGCAGUGGGGAAUAGUGGACAAUGGGCGCAAGCCUGAUCCAGCCAUACCGCGUGGGUGAAGAAGGCCUUCGGGUUGUAAAGCCCUUUUGUUGGGAAAGAAAUCCAGCUGGCUAAUACCCGGUUGGGAUGACGGUACCCAAAGAAUAAGCACCGGCUAACUUCGUGCCAGCAGCCGCAGUAA
rnacentral:rRNA from 1 species